rnacentral:lncRNA from 1 species
CUCCUUCAUAACUUUCAUAUACAUAUACCGACCGUCCCUAGAGCAAGUAGUAAAGGGCUUGGUGGUUAGUAUCCGAGACCCAAGUUCGAAUCCUAAUUGAUUCAUAUUUCCAGUUAAAUUUAUUUCUAAAUGAAAUAAACGAAACAGGUAGCAUGUUAACUAUCUCUCAAAAAAAAAAAACUUUCAUAUACAUACAUAUGCU